rnacentral:rRNA from 1 species
UACGGAGGGUGCGAGCGUUGUCCGGAAUCACUGGGCGUAAAGGGCGCGUAGGUGGCUCGUGAAGCGUGCGGUGAAAGUCCGAGGCUCAACCUCGGAUCGGCCGUGGCGACUCGUGGGCUGGAGCACUGUAGAGGCGGGUGGAAUUCCGGGUGUAGCGGUGGAAUGCGUAGAGAUCCGGAAGAACACCAGUGGCGAAGGCGGCCCGCUGGGCAGUGGCUGACGCUGAGGCGCGACAGCGUGGGGAGCAAACAGG